UACGUAGGGGGCGAGCGUUGUCCGGAUUUAUUGGGCGUAAAGAGCUCGUAGGCGGUUCGAUAAGUCGGACGUGAAAUCUCCACGCUCAACGUGGAGGGGCCGUUCGAUACUGUCGUGACUCGAGUCCGGUAGGGGAGUGUGGAAUUCCCGGUGUAGCGGUGAAAUGCGCAGAGAUCGGGAGGAACACCCGUAGCGAAGGCGGCACUCUGGGCCGGUACUGACGCUGAGGAGCGAAAGCGUGGGGAUCAAACAGG
rnacentral:rRNA from 1 species